CGGCGUUGUAGGCCAGGAUGGAGCGCGUCCUCAUCUGCUUCCCCUCGAUGGUCUUACUGGAGCAGGUCUGGGAGCAGCUGGUCCAGGGCGUCCAAUCACUGAGCACGCAGUCUCUUGAGCAAGGCACCUCACAGGCCACGGGCUCUGGAGCCGGGGAGGACGUGCAGAGCUUCCUGUCCACUUCCGCUCCUGAAGAAACAAAGGGGGAAAUAACACACUCUCCAACUCAACCCUCCUCCAGCCCAGAAUGUGAAACAGAGAUAUAAGGAUCACAAAACUCCACCAUAUUCAAGAUGCCUGGUCUACUUUAGCUCAUAAACACCCCCAGAGGAUGGAGGAGUGACAAGAUAAAUUAGAGAGAACGUGCUCCAAUCACAACAACACCCACAUGCUUGGCAGCGAAGACAUAGCUGUUGGUAACAUCAAAGAAAUA